CAGUAAUAAACAACACCUGAUAAGUUUUACCGAGAAAACCGUAAUAUUCGACUAUAGUUACCCGUACAAUUUUUAGAUCACGUUUCGAUUUUUUACUUUAAUAUUAUCGCGUUAUUGUUCGUUAUAAUAAGUAUAAUAAUAGUUUGUAUCGUUUAAAAUUAAACUGCAAGACUGCACGAAUGUAUAGGUAAAACGCGCUUGGCAUUCUGCAGUGUACGUAGGUAUAUAAUAUAAUAUAGGACAUAGGUACUGAUAAAUUAUAAAAUAUGUUUUCGUAACCAUGUUGCCCGCCACAGUUAAAUAUUC